UAUUUAUAUAGGUGAAUCCAUUGGAAAGUGGAACCAAAGAAGGUGAUAGUCCUGUAGGUAAAAUAUAGAUAAAAAGGAGUUAGACACCCAAGUAUUACGCGAUAAGUGGAAACGCGUAAGAAUUUGCCUCAACCAUGAGGUAAGGCUAAAUACUAUCUAAUGACCGAUAGUGAACAAGUACCGUGAGGGAAAAUUGAAAAGAACCCCGGGAGGGGAGUGAAAUAGAACCCGAAACUAUAAGCCUACAAGCGGUCGGAGCCCAGCACUAAUUUUCUUACGAAAAUUAGUGCUGGGUGACGGCGUGCCUUUUGUAUAAUGAACCGGCGAGUUAUUGUAUAUAGCAAGGUUAAUCCGUUUAGGCGGAGGAGCCGUAGCGAAAGCGAGUCUGAAAAGGGCGAAAAUAGUUAUAUGCAUUAGACCCGAAACUGAGUGAUCUAUCCAUGGCCAGGCUGAAGCCCUGAUAAUAUCAGGAUGGAGGGCCGAACCAGUGUAGGUUGAAAACUGCUUGGAUGAGCUGUGGAUAGGGGUGAAAGGCUAAUCAAACUCAGAAAUAGCUGGUUCUCCCCGAAAUAGCUUUAGGGCUAGCCUCAUAAAAUAGAUGGCGGGGGUAGAGUACUGAAUGAGCUAAGGAGCCUACCAGCUUACUGAACUCAAUCAAACUCCGAAUACCGCUAUCCGAAUUAUGGGAGUCAGACUGCGGGGGAUAAGCUUCGUAGUCAAAAGGGAAACAGCCCAGACCGUCAGCUAAGGUCCCUAAGUAUAAGCUAAGUGGUAAAGGAUGUAAGGCUACCAAGACAACCAGGAUGUUGGCUCAGAAGCAGCCAUCAUUUAAAGAGUGCGUAACAGCUCACUGGUCGAUUCUCCGAUGUUAUAUUGGGGUGGUAGUUUUGCGCCGACAAUGAACGGGGCUUAAGCUUAUCACCGAAGCUACGGAUACUUCGGUUCGCAAACUUUGUUUGCGGACUGAGGUGUGGUAGGGGAGCAUUCUAUUUUGGUUGAAGUUCUGAUGUAAAUCUGGAUGGACGAAAUAGAAGAGAUUAUGCCGGUAUGAGUAGCGAAAAUCCCGAUGAGAAAUCGGGACGCCAAAAAUCUAAGGUUUCCUCCGCAAUGCUAAUCAACGGAGGGUUAAUCGGACCUAAGCCGAGGGCGAAAGCCGUAGGCGAUGGACAGCCUGUUAAUAUUCAGGCAUUCUGAGAAGUGCGUUUGACGAUAGAAGUGACGCAGGAGGCUAGGUUAGCGCGCGAAUGGAUGUGCGCGUCCAAGCCUGUAAUCCGCCUCUGGCGGAAAAAGGUGUUAGGGAGUCCAAUCUACGGAGCGGAUGAACUAACUGAAGCCAUACUGCCAAGAAAUAGCUUCUUACUUUUUUAUGAAAGCUUUGUUUGUAAAGAUAAAGCGAAAUAAAGAAGUUUAUCGGAGUGCUUUUUGGAUCCGUACCGCAAACCGACACAGGUAGAUGCCUAGAAAAUAGGAAGGCGUUCGAGAUAACUCUCGUUAAGGAACUCGGCAAAAUUACCUCGUAACUUCGGGAGAAGAGGUUCCGCUUUUGUCCACCUCUGGUGGAUUUUGGCGGACGCAGUAAAGAGGCCCAGGCGACUGUUUAAUAAAAACACAGCGCUCUGCGAAAUCGUAAGAUGAUGUAUAGGGCGUGACACCUGCCCGGUGCCAGAAGGUUAAGGGGAGAUGUAAUUCGCUUUGGCGGAAAAGCAUCAAACUAAAGCCCUGGUAAACGGCGGCUGUAACUAUAACAGUCCCAAGGUAGCGAAAUCCCUUGUCAGGUAAGUAGAAAACAAGCCUGUACUGGCUUAUAACGGUAAAGUCCGUGUCACAACGUGCAGCUGAUGCGGAUAAUACCGUGGGAAGUCUUAGUGACCCCGUAACGACUGUAAUGAUGGUAGUUGCUAUGUUGCGAAGCAUAAAUUUAUAGCUAUCAUAAUACGCCAGUACCCAGCACUAAUUUUUCAACGAUGAUAGACACGCAUAAGAAUUAGUGUUGGGUAAAGAUAUAGUCUGCACCUCUGGUAACAGAGGAUUAACCCUGUUAAAUUCUCGUGACGACUAUUUAACAUGGUGAUUGUGAAGUUCUGACCUGCACGAAUGGUGUAACGAUCUGGGCGCUGUCUCAACGAGAGACUCGGUGAAAUUGUAGUAGCGGUGAAGAUGCCGCUUACCCACACCUAGACGGAAAGACCCCGUGAACCUUUACUAUACCCUGAUAUUGAAUUUUGGUUUGAUAUGUGUAGAAUAGGUGGGAGACUGUGAACCCCGGUCGUUAGGCCGGGGGGAGUCAUCAGUGAAAUACCACUCUUAUUAAACUGAGAUCCUAAUUCUCUGCUGUUAUCCAGUAGAAAGACAGUGUCAGGCGGGUAGUUUGACUGGGGCGGUUACCUCCCAAAGAGUAACGGAGGUGUCCUAAGGUUCCCUCAGUGUGUAUGGAAACCACACGUAGAGUAUAAAGGCAUAAGGGAACUUGACUGUGAGACCUACAAGUCGAGCAGAUGCGAAAGCAGGGCUUAGUGAUCCGGCGGUUCCGAAUGGAAGGGCCGUCGCUCAUCGGAUAAAAGGUACUCCGGGGAUAACAGGCUUAUCUUGCCCAAGAG
rnacentral:rRNA from 1 species